AUGUCGCUCCGGCGCCUCCUAGGCCUUCCCGCUGCCGUCUCCGGCCGCCUAAGCCGCUCCCUCUCCACCUCCACGGGUGCCUACUCCCGUCCUCCCUGGAUCUUGCUCGACCAGGUGACGCUGACCACCGGGUCGGCAGCACUGGGCGCGUCCGUGCGCAUCGCCGAGCCCCCGCGCGCCUGCACCCUCACCGUGCCGUCGCUCCUGGUCGACGCCGGCGCCGGCCCCGACCCCGACAGCGACGUCACGCAACUCCUCAUCGGCCGCGUCUGCUCCACCAGCGCCGACGGCCUCCUCUUCCUCAUCGUCUACGAUCUCCACGCCACGGCCCCCAUCCUCGCCAAGCAGGGUGCCAACCAUGUGCGACAGCUGACCGGCCUCGACCCCGGGCACACCCCAGACAUCACGCGCUUCCUCUGCAACCCUCUCACCGCCCAACUGACCCGCCUCCCGGCCAUCGGCGCCGGCCGGGAGAAGUUCGGGUGCGGCCCUCACAUGAGCGUCCUCACCCAAUCCGGUCGCGCGCACGGGGAUCCCGGCAGGCUCGCCGUCGCCGAGCUGCAGGGGAACAUGAUGGUCCGCUUUCUCUCGGACACGGCCAGGUGGGAGGUCGCGGUCACCGCGCCGUGGCAACUCCCGCUCGCCCGGCGGGGCCGGACUGACCAAGAAGCGUUCGCCUUCGGCGGACGGCUGUGGUGAGCUGACCUGAGCUGGGGCGCCAUCUCGGCCGGCCCGUUCAGCGACCGGCCGGGGCCCCGCUUCGUGGAGCUGCCGAGGGGCAGCGUGGUGCCAGCACGCCCAGAGCGGGCGGCAGGGUACCGGCGCAUGGGGGUAAGCGAGGGGAGGGUGCGCUACGCCGAGGUGUGGGAGCGUGAGCCGUUCGUGCUCAGCUCCUAUGCGCUGGACGACGAGGGCGGCGGCUGGACGCUGGACACCGCGUGGUGCUCAGCCGGCUCUGGGCGGGUGGAGACUACCCGUGGCUGCCCUUGCCGGAGAAGACGACGCCACAAAUUGGCGCCCUUGACCCACUGA
rnacentral:rRNA from 1 species